ensembl:lncRNA novel transcript
GAAUGUGGUGGAGGUUCAGAAAAAGAUUUCAGGGUUAUUUACAAAUAUUGGCCUUGAAGAAGAAACCACAAAGCAGAUCCUGGAGGAAAUGAAGUCACACUAGGAGCAGAGAUGACUGCAGUGGAUCAAAGUGGAGGGAACUGCUCCAGAGUCCCCAUCUUCCAUCAGUCGAUAAAACACAUGUUCUGAAUGCCCAUUGGGACCUGCCCUCCAGAAGCUUAUUAUUUAAGUGAGGACACACAAAUAAGAUAUUCAAUAGGAAGAAAAUAUUGACUCCCAUAGUCAUACAGGGAUGUGUCAUGAUCUUCUGAUUUCCAACCCAUGGCUCAAAGGCCAAAGAAGUUUUUUUAAAAUUUAUUUUGUUAUCUUUUUCCUCUGCUAGAAGAUAAACUCAUUGAGAACAUG